rnacentral:rRNA from 1 species
AUAUCAAUUAAGCGGAGGAAAAGAAACCAACAGGGAUUGCCCUAGUAACGGCGAGUGAAGCGGCAACAGCUCAAAUUUGAAAUCUGGCUCUCGGGCCCGAGUUGUAAUUUGUAGAGGAUACUUUUGAUGCGGUGCCUUCCGAGUUCCCUGGAACGGGACGCCAUAGAGGGUGAGAGCCCCGUCUGGUUGGAUGCCAAAUCUCUGUAAAGUUCCUUCAACGAGUUGAGUAGUUUGGGAAUGCUGCUCUAAAUGGGAGGUAUAUGUCUUCUAAAGCUAAAUACCGGCCAGAGACCGAUAGCGCACAAGUAGAGUGAUCGAAAGAUGAAAAGCACUUUGAAAAGAGAGUUAAAAAGUACGUGAAAUUGUUGAAAGGGAAGCGUUUAUGACCAGACUUGGGCUUGGUUGAACAUCCGGCGUUCUCGCCGGUGCACUCUGCCAGCCUAGGCCAGCAUCAGUUCACGCCGGGGGACAAAGGUAGCGGGAAUGUGACUCCCUCCGGGGAGUGUUAUAGCCCGUUGCGCAAUGCCCUGGGGUGGACUGAGGAACGCGCUUCGGCACGGAUGCUGGCGUAAUGGUCAUCAAUGACCCGUCUUG